rnacentral:rRNA from 1 species
UACGUAGGUGACGAGCGUUGUCCGGAUUUACUGGGCGUAAAGAGCGCGCAGGCGGUCGUUCAAGUCGAGUGUGAAAGCCCCCGGCUCAACUGGGGAGGGUCACUCGAUACUGAUCGACUCGAAGGCAGGAGAGGGUAGUGGAAUUCCCGGUGUAGUGGUGAAAUUCGUAGAUAUCGGGAGGAACACCUGUGGCGAAGGCGGCCAUCUGGACGGCGAUUGACGCUGAGACGCGAAAGCGUGGGUAGCAAACAGG